rnacentral:lncRNA from 1 species
AUUGUCUUUGGCCUCUGGUUCUGCGAGCCGAUUGUGUUUUCGUACCGUCAAAAAAAAAAAAAAGAAAAGAAAGAAAACAACUACCUUUCUGAAUGUAUUGUAUCCAAGGCCUUUGCAAUGUUGGGAGCAGAGUGAGCAGGUGUGGGGAGUCCUGAAAGACUGGUUACAUUACGGAGGUCAUCUGGCAUCCAGAGAAAGCUACUGCUUCAUCAAGCAGUUCUCCACCCUGCUGUAAUUAAAUACCUUGAAUUUUCUUUCUUUCCCCCAUGUAAAUGAAGGACUUCGUGGUCUUCUCUAAAAGUUUCUGUUCUGACUAACUUUGAUUCUCGGUUCCGUCAUCCAUUUCAUCUUGUGUUCUGUUGCCUUUGGUUAUAUCACACAAAGAGAAGGGUUGGGAUGUAAGUGAGUUAAGUUAUCCAGGACAAAAUCUUCGCUGACCACCUCAUCUGUGAUGGAAGCAUCCUCAUUUAAUAUGUAUUCUGCAAACUUUUUUUUUGGUGAGAGAUGUAAUUUCUCAUGAUGUACCCCAGGCUGGUACCUCUUGAGUGGGCUUCAUGAGUGCUGGGGUUAUAGGACUGGCCAAAAAGCACUUUGUAUUUAUGAAUACAUAUUCAUUCAUUAAAUACAUAUUGACUAAUA